rnacentral:ncRNA from 2 species
AAUGAUCUUCAGGGCGAGGUGAAAUUCCUCAUCGGUGGUAAAGUCCACGGGCCUUAGGGCAGAAUUGGUGCAACUCCAAUACCGACGGUGACAGUCCGGAUGGAAGAAGAUGUCU